rnacentral:sRNA from 1 species
GCAUAUACACAAAUGUUCUCAUUACGUAUAUUUUGAAUGUUUAUAUCAAUUUUAUAAUAUAUAUUAUAUUAAAAACUAAAAUAUAAUUUUUAUUACUGAUUUAAUAUAACUAUUUCAAAUAAUAUUUUUUGAAAAAUAUACAAUAAUUACAUAUAACUAAUAAUUACAAUUUAUUUUUUAUUUUCUUAUUAAAGUUACAUCCAAAAUUCCACUGCAAAAAAAAACUACAGCUACAGCUAACACAUCUACAGUUACAAACUUACAGCAAUUACUUUACAGGAAUAGGCAAUCAAAGAUUUUGUGUAAAUGGCAAAUUAAGCUAUAUUCGUACUCCAACCAAUUUACCAGCUCACAUAUUCUCUAAACUAUAAAACUAUAAUCAUAUCCUCAAAAUAU